GACGAACGCUGGCGGCGUGCUUAACACGUGCAAGUCGAACGGAAAGGCCCUGCUUUUGUGGGGUGCUCGAGUGGCGAACGGGUGAGUAACACGUGAGUAACCUGCCCUUGACUUUGGGAUAACUUCAGGAAACUGGGGCUAAUACCGGAUAGGAGCCCCUGCUGCAUGGUGGGGGUUGGAAAGUUUCGGCGGUUGGGGAUGGACUCGCGGCUUAUCAGCUUGUUGGUGGGGUAGUGGCUUACCAAGGCUUUGACGGGUAGCCGGCCUGAGAGGGUGACCGGCCACAUUGGGACUGAGAUACGGCCCAGACUCCUACGGGAGGCAGCAGUGGGGAAUAUUGCACAAUGGGCGGAAGCCUGAUGCAGCAACGCCGCGUGCGGGAUGACGGCCUUCGGGUUGUAAACCGCUUUCGACUGUGACGAAGCGUGAGUGACGGUAAUGGGUAAAGAAGCACCGGCUAACUACGUG
rnacentral:rRNA from 1 species